AAGAAGAAGAGGAAUUUAAAAAACGUUCCGGGUUGCCAUUUUUUUACUUUCACGGCCCUUAGCAACGAAGGCAACAGCCUGCGGCUCGCCUAGAAGCAAACCCCACCACCACCACCACCCCCCACCACAAAAAUCGCUGCAAUCGUUUAAAUUAACAAAAAAUUAACGAGCAAGUAAGGCGCCGGAGUCACACGGAAGGCGUCUUUGAUCGGAGACAGCCGCGGGGAGUUUUAGUCGGAGUCGCCAUGGGGGACCUGAGCCAGCAGAAUCUGGGCAUCACCCUGGGAGUCUUCAUCUCCCUGCUGAUGACGAUGGUGGUGUUGGUUCUGUACGUUUACCGCCCGCUGAGGCCGGGGGCCUAACCUCGUCACGGCCGACACCUCCUCAGCCUCCUCUUCCUCGUCAUUACACCUCCUCUGCCAACAAAAACUUAAACAUUUUCUGACAAAGGGAUUCAUGUUUGUAGCAUUAACCACACAAUACCUGCAGUCAAAAUGCCAACAAAAAAAAACAUUAAUAUGAUCAUACACGAUGGGUGGCAUUGUCCUCGACACUGAUUGGUCCACAGCAAAGGGGGGACGGCUUUCUCUUUAGCCUCCAGCCAAGUGGUGUUAGACCACCAGAUGACGACUCCAAAAGGCGUUCACACAGCUCAGAGACAACACCGCUAGCAGAGUAACGAGGGGCUCGGGGUGAGCAUCCACAUCAUCAUUAGAACUCCUUUGCCCAGUACCAAUAUGUAAUAAUAAUAAUUACAGUGUUUCCCCCCUUGUUUCUACCAACAAAACUGAAACUUUUUGACAAGGGGAUUCAUGUUGUAGCAUUAACCCACUAAUACCUGCAGUGAAAAAUGCAAACACAAAACAACACACACACACACACAACCUUGGUGUUAGCUCGACUUUGAACCAUUGUUAUAGUAAGAACUUAUCCUUGGUUCUUUCGGUAAAGUCACGUUGAAGGGGAACAAUAAAAUAAUAAAAAAAAAUAUAUAAAACAAUAAAAAUUCUCACGACGUUUCGACUUUGA